GGUGCUGUCCCAGCCCCUCACAGAGGCAACCUGGACGCAACCUGGACAUGCUGCUCCUUCGCACGUCUCGCUCUGAAUACGUGAAAGGAAACGUCCACCGCGCAGGUGCAGGCGGUUUAGGAAGGGAGGCGAACAGCACCCAGGAGCAGGGUGAAGAGGGGGUUGGCCUCCCGGACGGCCGAGCAAGCCUCGCUCGGUGCCCACAGGUGACGAUGAGCUGUACUUGGAUGGACACCGAUUUAAAGCAGGAUUGUUAAAGCCGCCCGCCUCCCCGUGGCUGCACGCUGGGUCCUGCUCACGCCGCCAGUGUGGACUUCCCGACCUCGGAAUUCGAGUCUCCUCCGACUCCUGCGGACUCCUGGGUGCAGCUCUGGCUCCUCAGGCAGCCCUCCUGCCUCUGACCUGGCUGCACCGCCCCCUCGGCCCCUCUCUCCCAGCUCCCACCACCCCCAGAGAUGGAGCUCAGUUCUGCACGUGCCAUUCCUUCUAGGGAUGCUCUUGCCCCACCUGCCCUCAUCCCUCCCCCCCAUCCUCUUCUUUGGUACCCACGCCGACCCCUGACCUGGAUGAAACCAGGUUCUACAAAGAUCCAAUCAGCUCUUCUCUCCUUUGGGAGGGUCUUCUUCAGUUUCGGGUGGAACCCAGGCCACCUCUUUGCUUCCUCCUGUAGCCACGGGAUUUCCCCUUCCCGGGAUUCCGAGCUUCAGUUGGUCUGUCUGAGAAAGGUGGGUCCCCUUGCUUAUCGUUGGCAUCAGUGAGGUCAGCCGAUUUGGUGCCUGGUGCUGCACUGGGCCCCUAGGCCCGCCGUGUGGCUGAUCCCUGCUGACAGGACCUCUCGCCCCCCUGUGUUUGGCUGUGUGUUUCUCUUAACACCGUGCUCCGAGUGGGUGCUUACGGUCCACGGUGACCAUUUUCUGCCACUCUGACCCCCUUCUGGAUGCUGCAGAGGCCCCCCAAAUGCUCGUUCAGUGGACGGCAAGAUAAAAUCAGAAACGAGAGCAAGAGACCAUGGACUGCUCCGCUUGGUCUGGAAGCCACCAGCCACAUGCGGCUGUUGAAAUUUAGAUUUCAAUAUGUGUAAAUUAAAUCAGAUUAAAAAUCAGUCCCCCAGUCACUUCAGCCACAUCUGAAAGUGCCCAAUGGC